rnacentral:rRNA from 1 species
GACGUAGGGGGCAAGCGUUGUCCGGAAUCAUUGGGCGUAAAGGGCUCGUAGGCGGUUUGUCGCGUCGGGAGUGAAAUCCACUGGCUUAACUGGUGGCUUGCUUUCGAUACGGGCAGACUGGAGGUAUGCAGGGGAGAACGGAAUUCCUGGUGUAGCGGUGAAAUGCGCAGAUAUCAGGAGGAACACCGGUGGCGAAGGCGGGUCUCUGGGCAAUAACUGACGCUGAGGAGCGAAAGCGUGGGGAGCGAACAGG